rnacentral:rRNA from 1 species
UACAGAGGGUGCAAGCGUUGCUCGGAACCAUUGGGCGUAAAGGGUAGGUAGGUGGUUGCAUAUGUCUGGGGUGAAAUCCCUGAGCUUAACUCAGGACGUGCCUUGGAAACGGUGUAACUAGAGUACUAGAGAGGUUCGUGGAAUUCCUGGUGUAGCGGUGAAAUGCGUAGAGAUCAGGAGGAACAUCAGCGGCGAAGGCGGCGAACUGGAUAGUAACUGACACUCAACUACGAAAGCGUGGGGAGCAAACAGG